GACAUAGGUGGCGAACGUUAUCCGGAAUUAUUGGGCGUAAAGCGUGCGCAGGCGGUGAUGUAAGACAGAUGUGAAAUCCCCGGGCUCAACCUGGGAACUGCAUUUGUGACUGCAUCGCUGGAGUACGGCAGAGGGGGAUGGAAUUCCGCGUGUAGCAGUGAAAUGCGUAGAUAUGCGGAGGAACACCGAUGGCGAAGGCAAUCCCCUGGGCCUGUACUGACGCUCAUGCACGAAAGCGUGGGGAGCAAACAGG
rnacentral:rRNA from 1 species